GAAGAAUUCUCGCUUCCUAUUAAAACAAAUAAAAUAUUUGUUUCAAUAUAUAUAAGGGCGAACAGAAUAGUGCUUUUCCUAAAGCAAAUAUAGAGUAAAACAAUGAUAUUUUCCCUAAGAACAGUUUUCCUAGUUUUCCCGAUCAUGUUCUUAAGGGGAUUUUUAUACGAUAACUUCGAGAUGUUUACCAAAUAUGAGAGGGAUUUUGAGGUAUGUGAGUAAUAUCAGAUUUGAUUAGGAACAUAACCCUCAAGGCCACGAAAGGGAAUGACUAUAGCCGUAAUUACAAAUUUGGCCCUCAGUGCAACCUGCUAAAACCAUAAAAUUCAUUAGUCCAAAAUCAUGAGUCGAUUGAAACUUGGCCUUUAUGUAGAAAUGGGCAGUUCUUAGAAUGAAAAUGGUUAAUCUAUUUUUCGUUGGAUAUGGAUGGUUCAUCUAUUGUAUAAAAUCGUUUUAUUUCGCCUUUUUUAUAUUUUUACAUACAACUGAAACGACUCCCAGAUAAAUGCAUGUAUUAAAUAAUGCAUUAUCAGUAUGAAAGUUAAGUACUCAGUACAUUACGUCAUUUACUAUACUCAAGACCUCACUCUAAAUUCUAAAAUAAAUAGCCCAGGGCUUCAAGAGCAUGGCGACAAUUUAGUACCCAGUGCCUCAUUACACCCUCAAUAUCUGUCACGUCAUGAACGGAUGAUAAAUAUCGCUUCUCCUUAAAUUAUCUCAGUCAUGGCUUUUGAUUACUAGUGGAAAGUUUAAAUAUCCAUGUAAGCGAUAAAUUGAUUUCUAGCGCCACAUUUUUUAGCUUUUUUUGGGGAAAAUGGGAAGUUAAGGGGCCCCUACAUUUUUUCUUUCAAAUUUCGCGAGGGAUACGAUUGUAGGCGUGAAACCUUGUUUCAAACCAAUGAAAGCGAGCGAAAUUUAAACCAAUCAACGUCUACAUCAUGCUCACGUGGUAUAAAGCUUUAUAAAAAGUCUUCAAGAGGAAUCGGAUUUCCGUCAGUAAAUAAAUACAUCAAAAGAAAAAUAGAAAAAAGCCCAAAAAUGUUUAACCUGGAAAUAUAGAUGGAAUUAACAGAUUUUAUGUUAAAUAAAAUAAUUCACUAAAUUCAAAGUUUCGUUCAAAUAACAUAAAACAUGAUUAAGCUUCAUUAUAGUGAAUAGACAGGAUUAUAGCCAAAUAUUUAUUUCCUUCAAAUAAUAUAUUUCAUUGAAAUGGUCAUGCAAUCUACCAAAAGCAACAAUUGUAAAACCUCAUAUCAUUGGUCACAAUGUGUUCAUGGGUACGUUUGGAUGUAAUUACAUAUAGACCGUGUGAUAAAAGUCCCGCUAGUAAACAGCAUGGCUAAACAAUGUAAAUGCGACCUCCGGGGAAAACUCUAUUGUGCUUAUUGAAGGUAAAGUAAGGCAAGGAAUAAUGGUUUAUCGUGACCGUUUGAUUGCUAAAGGAAGUGAGGUACACCGACCGAAAGGAUUGCGCGGUGACAAUAAAGUACUUAUAAGUGAAAUAAAAGCAGUUAUAAUAAAAUAUAGUUACAAAAACACAAAAAACCUUCACUCAAAUUCUUCCCCUUUAGCCGGCGGAGUUUAACUAUCACAAUGAAUUUUAUAUUAUUAUUUCUUUAAACAACAGAUGGUCGAUCGAGACUCUUCUAAUUUUGGUAUCAUUUAAAUACCAAUUUCCAACUAAUAAUUAUGGGGAAAAAAUUACACUACUGUUGUAGGUAUAAAAGGGAAUUUCGUAAAUGUUCCAUCAUCGAAAUAUCGAUAACUGAUUUUCAUUAAUUUUACAGAGAAAUCAUGUAAAAAAAAUCUUGUGGUUUGACCAAGCUCUCUCAACAAAGAUGUGAAAAAAGCGAAGUACCCCACGAAAACAAAGAACCCCACGCAUUGAAACUUGCUAAUCUAAUAUAAGCACACAAACGUGGACCCCUGUUUGCCAUCGAUCUUUUCUCAAUAUCACUUCCUAACCACAGCCGAGUUUUGUACGAGGGACGCUAAAUUCCGAGCGAUAAUAGCCUGAUUAAGGAAGCCUACAAAUCGAUUGACUGCCAGUUCACAUGGUUUAUUGGCAACUUGAGUAGAGAUAUUGCUCUAUGAGAUAACAUGUAGCUACGAAACAAAAGUGAUACACCAAAGAAAAGCUUGCAUCACAAUAAUCUUCCGCGACUCAAUACCAAGAAGUCACCAAUCUCUAAUCAGGUAUUCCGGUAAAGGCGUUAUUAAUUUAACAGGACAAUAAUCUGAGCUUUAUCAUCCAGUAAAUAAAACAUUCAAUGUAGUUUACUUGAAGGCGAAUAGUCAGGCAAAAAGACUUCCUUAUCAAGAUUUGAUUAUUUUAUUUUUAGAAUUCAAAUACAAAAAAGUUUAGAUAUCUUCAAUUUUGAAUCUCUACUUAUUUGUGCCUUUUAUGGAUUAAAAGGCACGUUAUUGCUUCCGUAAAUAGUAGAGCCCCACUUCGUUUGAUUAACGCAGAUUUAGUUACGACUGUUCUUUGAAUAAUGCAAUACAAUUCAAUCAGUUCAAGUACAUUUUACUAAACGCCUUUAUUCGCCUUCACUCGUUUUUACGUUUUGAGGCCGAGAUGUUGCCAACGCAAAACUAAACAUCUCAAAAUGACCUCACAAGUAUUUUGUUUCUUAAAAUCCAUCGCAUCUUACAGUGUGGGCCAAAUGGGGGAAAAGAUAUGGCUUAACGUUCAGCUGCUGUUAAGCCAGAUAUUUGUCAACGAAAAAAUAUAUAGAAGAGGAACUCGUGUGUAAUCUCUUCAGAAAACUCACGAGAAAAGACAAACAUUUCUUUCAAUAAACGUAGCACUUUUCAUAUUAACAUUUUAUGUGUUUUCUAAAAAAGACAACUAACUAGAUUACAAGUUGCUUAUAGCCAGAGAUUACCUCGGUAAUGGUAUUUUCAUUAAAACAAAAACUACGAGGAAUACACUACAAACAUAAUUUUUGGCGAUGUAUAUCUUUUGGAUCAUUUGUCAAACUAAAAAAGCCCCUAACAGAUUAUUCAUCAGAUAGGGUUUUCCUUUAUUUUUCCGAAAAGUCAAGUUCGUUUGAAUAGGAUUCGAAACUGUCACACCUAAUUUCCUUUAAGUCGCGUAAAAUUUUCCAUGAAAUAAUGCACAAACAACGCGCGCGCUCAUAUAAGCGUAUACACGACCACUUUCAAUUCUGAUUACUUUGCUUGUAUAUGAUAAACAUUGAACGCAAGCCACUCACAUAAUCUCUACCUUACUCUAAGUGGCUUUUGCUACGGAAAUCUCUCACUUGUGUGUAUCGCCAACAUUUUCAUUCCUACACAAAAGUCGGUUGAUCCUUGCGUUUAUCGAGUCAGUGAUCGUGUUAUUUCAUAAAUCAAGAUUUCUUUUAAUCCGACGCCUCAAACAAACACAUGUUUAACAUGUUUAGUGAACGGCUAUGAUGCGAGCUGUGUAGCCGGAUGCUUCAUGUAAUUACAACAAUUCGCAUGUCACCUGCCUGAAGAUUUAGCCUCCACACACACGCAUGCAAAUGAGACUUAGUCCUAUAAAUGAGUCUCGACCCACGGCAAAGUCUAUACAUUUGUACGGAUCACGCCUAGCUACGCGAAGCCGUUUGAUAAAUAAAAGGCAAGAAAUACUUUUACAAAGAUGAAGUCCGUAAUUGCAGUUCUUGUUCUCUCGCUGGUUCUCGUCAACUUAACACAAGCAGCGAAGGACGAUCGAUGGAAGGCGUGCCGCAUGAAGUGCUACACCGAAAGCAAACUGUGCAUGAACAACGACUCCAAGUGUUUCGACUCCCAAUCGUGUAAUAGCUGCAUUCAACAAGUAUACAGCCCGUGUUUCAAUAGAUGCCAAGAGAUGCUCCGACGGCGAGAGGCCUUUAAACGUAUGUUCGCAUUUGACGAGGAGAAUUAAAGACCAAGAACUAUAUUCCGGACAUUCAAUUGUUUUUAUCUAAAACACUGUAAUGAUACACCGCCAAGUUCUGCAAAGACACACAUCGGAAACCUAUAUAUUUAGAUAAAAUUUCAACACUCAUUUUUGGUCUAUGAUUUUUUUUUUUUUUUUGACCUGUUUAUAAGCUGGUCAACUUUGCACCCACGUUAUUUUACGUAACGGCCAGGAAGUUUCUCAUUUGUAGAAACUAGUAACGGCAAAUCACAACUUGUGACUGAAUCACGUGGUUAGAUAGGGAGAGGAGAGGAAGGAGAAUCGCCUUCGUUCACUUAGAUACACACAAAGUGAUCUAGAAGUCACAAUUAUGAUACAACCUCCACCAAAAAAGAUUACAAAGUAUGAUAUGUGCGAAUAAAUUUAGCCAUCAUCGAC